rnacentral:rRNA from 1 species
CGCGCAGGCGGCGUCGUAAGUCGGUCUUAAAAGUGCGGGACUUAACCCCGUGAGGGGACCGAAACUGCGAUGCUAGAGUAUCGGAGAGGAAAGCGGAAUUCCUAGUGUAGCGGUGAAAUGCGUAGAUAUUAGGAGGAACACCAGUGGCGAAAGCGGCUUUCUGGACGACAACUGACGCUGAGGCGCGAAAGCCAGGGGAGCAAACG